AGGACGAACGCUGGCGGCGCGCUUAACGCAUGCAAGUCGAACGAGAUCCAUCCAGUAGCAAUACUGGUGAAGAUCGAGUGGCGAACGGGUGAGUAUCACGUGAGGAACCCACCCCGGAGACCGGGAUAACCCUCCGAAAGGAGAGCUAAUACCGGAUGUCCUCAUCGGAUCGCAUGUUCUGAUGAGGAAAUGGAUUCCGCUCCGGGACGCCUCGCGGCCUAUCAGCUAGUUGGUGAGGUAAAGGCUCACCAAGGCUGCGAUGGGUAGCUGGUCUGAGAGGACGAUCAGCCACACGUGGACUGAGACACGGCCCAGACUCCGUACGGG
rnacentral:rRNA from 1 species